rnacentral:lncRNA from 1 species
UUCCUGGUCCAUAAUAAUAAAAAGAUUUCUACCAAGAUAUGGAAUUGGAGACUCACAUACACAGUAGCUUUAGAACCAUAAGGAAUCCUUCAAAGGACCAGCAAAAAUUAUGCUGAUGGGGAGAUUCCCCUAUACCAUGGGAGAAUCUUCAACCCCAUGUAUAAUACUUUUCAAGAUAAAUCCACUUCAAAAGUCAUUCCUCAAUCCUCAGCUGCACCCA